GAUGAAGAACGUAGCGAAAUGCGAUAAGUAAUGUGAAUUGCAGAAUUCAGUGAAUCAUCGAAUCUUUGAACGCACAUUGAGCCCGCCAGUAUUCUGGCGGGCAGGCCUGUUCGAGCGUCAUUUCAACCAUCAAGCCCCCGGCUUGUGUUGGGGACCUGCGGCUGCCGCAGGCCCUGAAAAGCAGUGGCGGGCUCGCUGUCACACCGAGCGUAGUAGCAUACAUCUCGCUCUGGGCGUGCUGCGGGUUCCGGCCGUUAAACCACCUUCAUAACCCAAGGUUGACCUCGGAUCAGGUAGGAAGACCCGCUGAACUUAAGCAUAUCAAUAAGCGGAGGA
rnacentral:misc_RNA from 1 species